rnacentral:lncRNA from 1 species
UCUGUGGAGAAGGCGACGAGCGAACUCGGGUGGACGCCGGAGUUUGACCUCGUCCAGGGGCUCACCAACUCGUACAACCUCGACUUCGGCCGCGGCACGUUCCGGAAGGAGGCGGACUUCACCACAGACGACAUGAUCCUCGACAAGAAGCUUGCCACCGUUUGAUGCAUGUCUCGGGCUAGCUGUACGUACGUACGAUUAGAGAAGAGAUAAAUGAUAGCAAAUCAAAAUUUGUUGUUAAGUAAAGUGAGCUCUUAGCUUCUAUCAGGGACGAUUAUUAAGGAUACCCGAAUUAUUCCUCCCAAGAACACACUCAGAGAAGUAAGGUACCUCUUAGGCCGAGGCUUCUCCUCGAGAGUCUCCCACCUCGGGCAUAACUCCGCCUCGCCCCGAGCUGAUCCCCGACAGAUAAGAUAAAAGCGCCUAAAAAUAGGAAGGAAACACUCGCAUUUAAUGUAUACUAGUUGUGUGCUCGUGCGUUGCAACGGGAACAUAUAAUACCAUUGAUAGCUUAUGUACGUUGGGAUGAGCAUCGACAUAUAUCUGACCGGACCUUCUUCUUCCUUGGGGAUCUAGAGAAAAGCCUAUUCGGAAGCCAAACAUGUUAAGACCUAAUCAUGUGCUGCCCUUGUGUCUCUGAUCAUCAUCAGCACACUGUUCGACGCU